UGGAGUAUGUGUUAUAUCUUUCAAUUCGGCAUGUUUUGUACUCUUUCUGAGGUUUUAAAGCAAAGCUUAACAAAAUCGUUGAACAAAUAUCUCCACUCUAAUACCAAAAUAAAAAACUUCAGGCAAGUCUACCAAAUAUGUAUUGUUAAAUAAUUAAAGUUCAAAUAAAAAGGUUUUUCCGACCACAUGUAUGUGAUAUUUAGACACAAAUAAAAGUGUAUAACCACAGGAAACAAAUAUCAUUUUUGUUAGACACAUUAUGUUAUACAGGUCAUAUAAAUUAGAUAUAUUCAUUUAUUAAAAGCCCC
rnacentral:lncRNA from 1 species